rnacentral:rRNA from 1 species
GAUGAACGCUGGCGGCGUGCCUAAUACAUGCAAGUCGAGCGAACGGACGAGAAGCUUGCUUUUCUGAUGUUAGCGGCGGACGGGCGAGUAACACGUGGAUAACCUACCUAUAAGACUGGGAUAACUUCGGGAAACCGGAGCUAAUACCGGAUAAUAUUUUGAACCGCAUGGUUCAAAAGUGGAAGACGGUCUUGCUGUCACUUAUAGAUGGAUCCGCGCUGCAUUAGCUAGUUGGUAAGGUAACGGCUUACCAAGGCAACGAUGCAUAGCCGACCUGAGAGGGUGAUCGGCCACACUGGAACUGAGACACGGUCCAGACUCCUACGGGAGGCAGCAGUAGGGAAUCUUCCGCAAUGGGCGAAAGCCUGACGGAGCAACGCCGCGUGAGUGAUGAAGGUCUUCGGAUCGUAAAACUCUGUUAUUAGGGAAGAACAUAUGUGUAAGUAACUGUGCACAUCUUGACGGUACCUAAUCAGAAAGCCACGGCUAACUACGUG